AUGAACGCUGGCGGCGUGCCUCAUCCCUGCCAGUCGAGCGAACGGACGAGAAGCUUGCUUUUCUGAUGUUAGCGGCGGACGGGUGAGUAACACGUGGAUAACCUACCUAUAAGACUGGGAUAACUUCGGGAAACCGGAGCUAAUACCGGAUAAUAUUUUGAACCGCAUGGUUCAAAAGUGAAAGACGGUCUUGCUGUCACUUAUAGAUGGAUCCGCGCUGCAUUAGCUAGUUGGUAAGGUAACGGCUUACCAAGGCAACGAUGCAUAGCCGACCUGAGAGGGUGAUCGGCCACACUGGAACUGAGACACGGUCCAGACUCCUACGGGAGGCAGCAGUAGGGAAUCUUCCGCAAUGGGCGAAAGCCUGACGGAGCAACGCCGCGUGAGUGAUGAAGGUCUUCGGAUCGUAAAACUCUGUUAUUAGGGAAGAACAUAUGUGUAAGUAACUGUGCACAUCUUGACGGUACCUAAUCAGAAAGCCACGGCUAACUACGUG
rnacentral:rRNA from 1 species